AGGGGGAGUAAGAGAGGAAAAGGGCGAGAGCAGCAGUGCUCAAGUCCGCCCACCCACCAGCCGUCCCAUGAAGAAGAUUCUGUUGUCCCCAUUUACUGAAGGAGGACAGGAGGUACUGGCCGGUGCUGCCUGCCUGGCUGCGCGUUCCUGUUGGCCAUGUGUGGGGCUGUGGUCCACCCAUCCCUCUCCCUUUGGGGUCCUGUACAGAGGGGUUCGCCUGUGGAGGGACAUGUGGCCGGGGAAGCUUGGGGAGAGUCUCAGGGUACUGCUAAAUGCUCUUCUGCUGGGCAGGUUUGGCCCCAGACCCAACACCACCGAGGUCAGGUGGGAGCUCCGGUUCUGGAGUCAAUGAAAGCAGGGUUACCUCUGUUGGCUGUGCCACGUCGGGUUGAUGAGGCAACUUCUCUGAACCUAGUCAAGGUAGGAUUUAUACUAGUGGCACAAGACUAUGACAGAGAUGAGCUGACAUAAUGGAGCAUUUCCAAAGAUGUGGAGACCACAGGUGGCACUUAAAAUGAUUUUGGAUAAUGCCCAGAAAGAAAGCAUUCGACAGCACUGCUCCUACCGUAAAGGCACCACAACCCGUUGAACUCCCUUGGGAUUCUCCUAAUUCAUCCAGAAGGUCUCCAUCCAAGGCAGCGUGUCCUUAACACCCAACGCCUGCUAAUUAUUUUGGUGGUUUUGCUCUUGUUUUAACAAGAGAGAAGACCUCAGGCUCGGGGACUACUGCCAGCAACGGUAUGUAAGUAGAGUUUAAUAAAUAUUUCCUCUGCGCUGGAGUCAUUUUUUGGUCACUGGCUGUCUAUUUAUAGUAGUAACCUGAAAAAUCUGCUUUGUCAGUAAAGGAAUUUAUGUUUUAAAAGCAGGUCCGAGCAAAGGGAGGCGGCCUGGGUAGAUGGCGGUACCCAAAGCAUUCAGAGGUGGCCAAGGUCAUAAAGGAAGCUUAGGAUGAUUGGGAGGGUCGGCCUCGGGCCACACAGCGGUUAAUGAUGCUGUUUUGAUACCAUCUCAAGAGGAGCCAUGGGACCUGAGAAGCAGGACACAUCCCAAAUGCAGACCCUCUGCUCCCUUCCCUCCACCACCAAAACUCAGACUGAGAGAAGACCAAAGCUUAUGUCCCGUGGGCGAGGCAGGGGCCUGGCAAGCCCCCCGCUGGACCCAGGACCAUCCCUGCCGCAUGCCCUGCCUGGGCGUCACUUUUCUUCAUCUGAAACAGAUGGGACCAAGAGGCUGAUCGUACCCUUCCAGUUCGGAGGAUCUAGCAAUCUUUGUUUGGUUGGUUCCUCACUUUCUCUUGGAGAUUCCUAAGAGAAGUGAUCAUGGAAGGCAGCCCUGGGCUUCCUCUAGGGAACAUUGCAAUGGGAAGAUGUUCUGUGCAAAAAUGAAUGAAUGAAAGAAUGCAUGGAUGGAUGGAUGUGAUUUUAUAAAUAUAUUCACUGGGGGGCAGGGGGCAGAGAAGUUCACUUGAGCUCACUGUUUCAGUUCCUCCUCUGCAAAAUUCUGUUCCUGUUGGUACCGACCUCACUGGGUUCUGAGGACUCAGCAAGGCCACGUGAUGUCUCACAGAGCAUGGGAAAUGAGAUACACAUCCGUUUUGUGGACGGGGCAUGAAGUCACGUGGAUUCCUCGGGCAAGUUUCCCUGUUCUCUGAGGAGAAAGUCCCCGUUUGGUGCUAAUAUGGUUUCAAUGCUUUACUGUCGCUUGCUCCAAAUCCUUUUAACUAAAUAGAAAGCCAGGACCUUGGCAGGCAGCAAGGUUCAACUGGAAUAGGAAAGACUACCCCCAGGCGGUCCCUGGAAACAGGGACAGGGCCCAGGGACAGAUUCCUCUAGGCAGGACAGGCACAGACAGGCGUCGGGUUAGGCAGUUCCUUCAGAACCAGAGGGGUCUUGGCCUAAUUUGUGCAAAAGACCUUCAGAUAAGGCCUGAAGACCCCUUUACAGAAUAAUGUGAGUUUUUUUAAUGCAAAACAAAAAUAUCUGCACUGUUCCCGUGGGUUUUUUUUUUUUUGAUCUUGGUAAAAUAUCCAUGAUGUAAAAUAUUUACUAUUGUCGCUUCCCCCCUCCCCCAAAACCACCACCUUCUUUGGGUAGUACUGGGAAUGGCACCCAGGGGAGCUCUACCACUGAGCUACAUCCUCAGCCCUUUUUAUUCUAUCUUUUAUUUUGAGACAGGGUCUCUCUAUGUUGCUGAGGCUGACCUCAAACUUGUGAUCCUCCUGCCUCAGCCUCCCAAAUAGCUGAGAUUAUAAGCAUGCACCUGGCCAUCUGAGCAUUUUUAAGCAGAUGAUUCAGUGGCAUUAAGCCCAUUCACGUGUUGUGCAAAGGUUGCCUCCAUCCAUUUCCAGAACUUUCUUUGUCUUCCCAAUUGAAACUUUGUCCCCAUUAAAAAUUAAGUCAUUAUUCCCCCUCCCCCCUCCCCCACCCUUCUGUGAAUCUGACUUCUCUAUGUUCCUCAUAUGAGCGCUAUAUAUGGAAUUACACCGUAUUUUUUCUUCCGUGUCUGGCUUAUUUCAUUUAGCAUAAAAUCCCCAAGGUUUAUUACAGAAUGUUUUCAUGUGCACAAAAUAAGAAAUAGGCUUAAAAGAAAAUCAAUCAUAUGUAAAACAACAGUUCUCUAAGUAAUUUUUCAAGCCAGGAUAGCAUCAUGGGUGCUUUUUAUUAAAUAACAAGAUACAGAGGUAGGCUUGACAAUUGUUACAGUCUCCAGAUAGUGAUGAGCCUGUUUCAAGACAGCAAGAACAGCCAGAAUGUGAUCCGAAAAUAUCCGUGAUUUUUCUAUUGAGGAAAAAUUUGAGAAACGCACUUGGAGUGCUGGUAAAGCAUGCGAUGUUGCCUGUAUUCAAAAUUGAUGGAAGUGCUGACUUUCAAUUUGAAGUUAGCAAAAAUUAAAAUAUAUAUAUAUAUGAUUUUUUGUUUCCUACCCAAUGUGUGGACUCCCUGAAUUUAUUCUCCUCCAAGAGCUGUUCCAUUUGGCCUGGCUUGUUGCUAUUGGUUGUGCACGCAGAUGCAGACACAGGGGCAGCCAGAAACACAGGGGACCCUCCCCUUGCACAGACCACAGCGUUCUAACCAAGAGGGGACAGGCAGCCCGGUUCGUAGUAGUUGCUUAAUUUUUCUCAUUUACAAAAGGGCUCUGGAUGGACAGCCUUUAAUUACGAGACAGUUGGCUUUUCAAAAGCAAUGUGUUCUAAUCAAGACCAUCUGGGCCCGGGCGGGGGCACUGCAGAAAUUAUAACUGCAGCUGAAAAACCACGAGACUCGCAGCAGGCGGACCACGGAGGCCUUGAGGGGGAGAAUGGUUUCCAUGUGCUUGGGAGACAGGGGCACGCCUCCCGCACUGUGUUCUCUGGCUUCAAAGCCAAGCCACAGUGCCAGUGGCCUGGGUUCUGCCUGCCCGUGUGGAAGGGGAACAGGAAGAGGCAGAAAAUAUGAGGCAGGGUGUUGGCUUAGAUGUCCAGUUACGUGAGAAUGUCAGAUAAGCCAGGGAUGGUUUUUAAUGUAACUGGGUACCAUGCAAUGUGCUAAAGUCACACCUGCACGUGGUUUGUUGUUCAUCUGAAAUUCAAGUUUGAACAAGUGUCCUGUAUUUUUAUCUGUGAACUCUGGCAAUGCCACCCCACUCAGACUGGAUUCUGGAACCUUUCCUCCAUAUCUUUGUAAAGAAACACCUGGGCUAGCCCGGGACACGCGGAGCUCAAGUUGGAGACAUCUGGGCAGUCGGCACAAGGAUCAAGAACUUCCGUGAGCUUUGGGGUCCUGAAGACUUCAAGGCUACUUCUGUGCAUUGGACCUUUGAGACAUCGUUGGAAAGAUCUUUUUGCUCAAAAACCUCCCUGUCAUCCAGCGGCCACGAAGCCUGAAGUUUCAUGAGAAUCUUGGUCAUCUUGAAAAACCCACCUGAGGCUUAUCCAGGUAAAGCCCGCUCUCUUUAGCUGGCCACGACCCGGGUCAUCCUGAGACCCUGAAACACGGGGCCAGGGUGGUGGCAGUAAGGAGGCUCUCAAAGAAUCUGGAAGGUGACCUGGGACUUGCCAAAGACAGAUGUGGCCAACUGGAAAAUUUGGCGACAGCAUGGCCCUGCCUCAAUUUGUCCCACCGAGCCAGUUAAACCUUGGUUCCAUGGCAUAAUAAAAAGGACAAUAAGCAUCAAUAUUAAUGGAUCAUUUCAUUCAAAAGAGCUUCCCACAAGAAAGCCAGACCCCCGGAUGCCAUCUUUUGCUAAGCAAAGCUCAAAGCCUUUCUUAUAUUGAUGGUCGAGACUUUUUUAUUAUUAUUAUUAUUUUUAUUUUUUCAACUGAAUGGAUGGAAAAGUUUUUCACAGACCUACAAAGCGUGGGUCGUAAAACAAAGCCUGAAAAUAUCCAGGGGCAGAGUUAUAGCUGGGAGGGCGUCUCUCCUCUUGCUAUGCACAGAUUGGUUCUACCGCUUGGCUCAAUGCUAACUGCUGGGGUUCCGUGUUCCUGGCAUCUAAAUGUGCCUUUCUCUGCCGACACUUGGGGCCACCUGCGUGUCAUCUUGAGGACAUGGGUGAGAGCCAAGCAACUGCUGAUAACUGGUGGUCCCCAAACCAUGACGAAACACAACAUCCAAGAAUCUGACUGGGUCCCUUGGCAGCCUCAGAAUUGCAAGAAAACGAAGACAGAAGUUUCUAGAAAGACAGGGGAGUUAAAAUCCUGGCAUUUUCUUCCGUUAUCAAUAACUGUGACUUAUUAAUUACCAAUGGAUGGUCACUAAACGAGGAAGGGUCUUUUCCCAUCAGAGUCUAAUUAGUUUUAUUGUCUUUUCUCUGAAACCCAUUGUAUUCCACUCUACCCAUCAGCUGCCUGCUUUAAUUAAUUUUGCACCACAUUCAAAGGUUUUGCUUUUGUGCCUCUCUGUUUGAUUUAAAUUCCCCCUUUUUUUUUUGCAAAUAAUAAAUAAAUAACUAUCAAAGCUAAUGAGGCUCUGAAGAUUUGAGAUGUAAAUAUCAUAUGCAGAUUCUUUUUUUGGGUCCCAGCUCAGCGGAAGACCAAAAAUAACACUUGGAAGUUUGAUUAAGAAAUCUCAGGCUCCCCCUCCCAAGCCUCCCUCCAGACAAGCUUUCUGCUGGUAUUUUCAGUUAUUUGGCAAAAAAAAAAAAAAAA